rnacentral:rRNA from 1 species
UUAAUGUCCAGGAGAGUGGCCCCCUGCAUGGGGGGGUGACUAGAGAUUUAUCGGUAUGGGAUGAGCUUGCGUCCGAUUAGCUAGUUGGCGGGGCAACGGCCCACCAAGGCGACGAUCGGUAGCCGGCCUGAGAGGGUGAUCGGCCACAUUGGGACUGAGAUACGGCCCAGACUCCUACGGGAGGCAGCAGUAGGGAAUAUUGCACAAUGGGGGAAACCCUGAUGCAGCAACGCCACGUGUGGGAAGAAGCAUUUCGGUGUGUAAACCACUGUCAUGAGGGAAUAAGGCCCGCCUCCGGGCGGGAUUGAAUGUACCUUGAGAGGAAGCACCGGCAAACUUCGUGCCAGCAGCCGCGGUAAUACGAGGGGUGCAAGCGUUGUUCGGAAUUACUGGGCGUAAAGGGAGCGUAGGCGGAGAUUCAAGCGGAUUGUACAAUCCCGGGGCCCAACCCCGGCUCUGCAGUCCGAACUGGAUCUCUUGGAUAGUUCAGGGGCAGGCGGAAUUCCUGGUGUAGCGGUGGAAUGCGUAGAGAUCAGGAAGAACACCGAUGGCGAAGGCAGCCUGCUGGGGACUCAUCGACGCUGAGGCUCGAAAGUGCGGGUAGCAAACAGGAUUAGAUACCCUGGUAGUCCGCACCGUAAACAAUGCAUACUGGGUGUCCGGGGGUUCCCCCGGGUACCGUAGCCAACGCGUUAAGUAUGCCGCCUGGGGAGUACGUACGCAAGUAUGAAACUCAAAGGAAUUGACGGGGGCCCGCACAAGCGGUGGAGCAUGU